rnacentral:rRNA from 1 species
UGAGGAAUAUUGCACAAUGGGCGAAAGCCUGAUGCAGCAACGCCGCGUGAGGGACGAAGGCCUUCGGGUCGUAAACCUCUUUUCUGGGGGACGAGUAAGGACGGUACUCCAGGAAUAAGUCUCGGCUAACUACGUGCCAGCAGCCGCGGUAAAACGUAGGAGGCGAGCGUUAUCCGGAUUUACUGGGCGUAAAGCGUACGCAGGUGGCUUCGUUAGUCGGACAUGAAAGCUCCUGGCUUAACUGGGAGAGGUUGUUCGAUACUGCGGGGCUUGAGGUUGGGAGAGGGAAGUGGAAUUCCCCGGGGAGUGGGGGAAUGCGUAGAUAUCGGGAGGAACACCAGUGGCGCAAGCGGCGGCCUGGCCCACACCUGACG